UGCCUACCUUGGCCUUCCAAAGUGCUAGGAUUACAGAUAAGAAAAUUAACUCAGAGAGAUUAAGUGGCUCCCCCAAGACCACCCAGCUGGUAAGCACCGGAGCCAGGAUGUCAGCCGUGGGACUUUUUACUCUAAAUCCACAACACUGUCAUGCAUAUGAAUGAAUGAGAUGAUCCAGUAUUGCACAGAAUAAUAGAAUUGGAAGGGUCCGCAUCUGCCCUGAUUGCCACUUCUUCCCUGUGGUAGUUUCUGAGCCGGCAGCCAGGGCAGCCCUCCCUCACCUAAUGUUUUGAGCAAACAACCUGGCCCUCCAAGGCCCAGAAGCUGUCUGGCAAUUUGCAGGAGGUUGCGAAGGCAA